AUUGAACGUUGGCGGCAGGCCUAACACAUGCAAGUCGAGCGGAUGAAGGGAGCUUGCUCCUGGAUUCAGCGGCGGACGGGUGAGUAAUGCCUAGGAAUCUGCCUGGUAGUGGGGGAUAACGUCCGGAAACGGGCGCUAAUACCGCAUACGUCCUGAGGGAGAAAGUGGGGGAUCUUCGGACCUCACGCUAUCAGAUGAGCCUAGGUCGGAUUAGCUAGUUGGUGGGGUAAAGGCCUACCAAGGCGACGAUCCGUAACUGGUCUGAGAGGAUGAUCAGUCACACUGGAACUGAGACACGGUCCAGACUCCUACGGGAGGCAGCAGUGGGGAAUAUUGGACAAUGGGCGAAAGCCUGAUCCAGCCAUGCCGCGUGUGUGAAGAAGGUCUUCGGAUUGUAAAGCACUUUAAGUUGGGAGGAAGGGCAGUAAGUUAAUACCUUGCUGUUUUGACGUUACCAACAGAAUAAGCACCGGCCAACUUCGUG
rnacentral:rRNA from 1 species